rnacentral:rRNA from 1 species
GAAAAAAGUUUGAGUUGCUUCUCAGCAUAUUUCUAAUUUACUGUGAACUGUUUUACUGUUUAGCGUUUUGAGGGAUGCUUAAAGACUAUAGGGAUAGGUCUUUGAGAUGUUAACCUAGCUAAAGUCAGGCUUAGGCCUGGUAUCCUAAUUCAUUAUUUACCAAAAGAAUUCAGAAUUAAUAUUGUAACAUAAGCGUAAAAAACUUAUAAAACAACUUUUAACAACGGAUCUCUUGGUUCUCGCAUCGAUGAAGAACGUAGCAAAGUGCGAUAACUAGUGUGAAUUGCAUAUUCAGUGAAUCAUCGAGUCUUUGAACGCAUCUUGCGCUCAAUGGUAUUCCAUUGAGCACGCCUGUUUCAGUAUCAACAACAACCCACAUCCACAAUUUUGUUGUGAAUGGAAAUGAGAAUUUCGGACUUGCGCUGAAUUCUUUAAAACUAUUAGGCCUGAACUAUUGUUCUUUUAGCCUGAACAUUUUUUUAAUAUAAAGGAAUGCUCUAGUUAUUAAGACUAUCUUGGGGGCCUCCCAAAUAAAUCAUUUUUUAAACUUGAUCUGAAAUCAGGUGGGAUUACCCGCUGAACUUAAGCAUAUCAAAAGCCGGGAGGAAA